rnacentral:rRNA from 1 species
AUUGAACGCUGGCGGCAGGCCUAACACAUGCAAGUCGAGCGGAUGAAGGGAGCUUGCUCCUGGAUUCAGCGGCGGACGGGUGAGUAAUGCCUAGGAAUCUGCCUGGCAGUGGGGGAUAACGUCCGGAAACGGGCGCUAAUACCGUAUACGUCCUGAGGGAGAAAGUGGGGGAUCUUCGGACAUCACGCUAUCAGAUGAGCCUAGGUCGGAUUAGCUAGUUGGUGGGGUAAAGGCCUACCAAGGCGACGAUCCGUAACUGGUCUGAGAGGAUGAUCAGUCACACUGGAACUGAGACACGGUCCAGACUCCUACGGGAGGCAGCAGUGGGGAAUAUUGGACAAUGGGCGAAAGCCUGAUCCAGCCAUGCCGCGUGUGUGAAGAAGGUCUUCGGAUUGUAAAGCACUUUAAGUUGGGAGGAAGGGCAGUAAGUUAAUACCUUGCUGUUUUGACGUUACCAACAGAAUAAGCACCGGCUAACUUCGUG